rnacentral:rRNA from 1 species
UACGUAGGGCGCAAGCGUAUCCGGAAUUAUUGGGCGUAAAGAGCUCGUAGGCGGUUUGUCGCGUCUGCCGUGAAAGUCCGGGGCUCAACUCCGGAUCUGCGGUGGGUACGGGCAGACUAGAGUGAUGUAGGGGAGACUGGAAUUCCUGGUGUAGCGGUGAAAUGCGCAGAUAUCAGGAGGAACACCGAUGGCGAAGGCAGGUCUCUGGGCCACUACUGACGCUGAGAAGCGAAAGCAUGGGGAGCGAACAGG